CGACGAUGGUGCCUCAUGAGGAUGGCUACCAGUGGAGGAAAUAUGGUGAGAAGAAGAUCCAGGGCACUGAUUUCACAAGGUACCUAAUCCUAUCCGUUUAUUGAGCCACAUCCAAGGGUUAAGAAGGUUCGGUACCGGCAGGUCCAGGUUUCCCAUGCGCACGGUACCUCGUCUCCAUCCGCGUGCGGUACUUGAGUAUAAGGGCAAAAAUGUAUUUUCGCAUUCACUUCCUUUUUCCAGUGGAUAGCAUCGUCUGACCUCCAGCAUUCAGAUUCCAUUUGAUCGCAGGCAGCCUUGUGAAUCUUGACGUCGUCGGCAGCGGCGGGCGGCGCCUCGUCGGCGGUGGCGGGCGGCGCCUCGUCGGCGGUGGCAGGCGGUGGCUCGUCCUGUGCGACGGCUGCGCCUCAACCUUGUGAAUCCCGACCUCGUCGGCACGGCGAGCGGCGCCUCAUCAGCAGCGGCGGGCAGCGCCUCGUCGGCCUCCUUCCUAUGCGACGGCUGCUCCUCAACCUUGUGAAUCCCGACCUCGUCGGCAGCGGCGGGCGGCGCCUCGUCGGCCUCCUUCCUGUGCGACGGUUGCGCCUCUAUCCUGCAGGCGCAUCGACGCAAGGGCCGACGGAAUACGGAUCCAACCCAAGGAGUUUCCCUACCCACACUCAAGGAGUUGUUGCAGCAGGUAUCGUCAUGCAUGGUGGCUAUCGUUUGCUGGAAAAACACCGGCUCGGCAUUCUGCACGGCGCCCAGAUCCGAGGAGGAAGAUUGAGCAGCUUUGCUGCAGGUCGAGCGCAGAUCAGAAGAUUGGUGUUGGUGCCGAUUCAUGCUAGGGAGACCUGCUUCUAAGCCUUUCACCAGUGCUCUUGAUGUUAUCCAGUGCAUUGUGCUACAAGAAUGAAGGAGUUGUAUAGUGAUAAAGUGAUAAUCUGAACCAGUAUGUGCAAUGCAUUGGAUCUGAUCCAUAAGGAGAUCGAAGUGGGCUGAAAUCUGGAAAAAGGAUAAAAGGUUUAGCUACCUGCAAAGGUUUUGUGCUAAUCUCCACACCCUCCGAAGACAAUUGUCAUCUCUCUUGACUGGCUCAUUUGGCAGAUGCAACAAGGUAGAAGACAUGUGAGGUUGUUGAAUUAAAUGUUUGGAUUGAAAGGUGACAUCCCUAGCAGGACGGACCUUUAGCGUUGCAAGUCUUAAAAAAAUUAUUAGACAUAGUAGUUGAAAGACCUUAAAGACUUUAUUGUAAGUACAGAAGAAAUGAAGGCUAAGAAUUAAGUGUGUAAGCACGAAAUUUUUUGUAUGAAAUAUUGUAUGAGAAUGUUGCUACUGUAAGGUCUACAUACCUUAGCUUGGCUGGGAGCUUGUCGGGCGG